rnacentral:snRNA from 1 species
AUCGCUUCUCGGCCUUUUGGCUAAGAUCAAGUGCAGUCUCAGGCUGAGGACAAAGAUAUGACCUAUGCUCCCACUAGUGUGCAUUUAGACAUGGCUCAGUCUGGGCUGCCUGGAGUAAUUUUUUUUUUUUUUUUUUUUUUUUGAGACAGAGUCUCACUAUGUCACCCUAGGUGCAGUGCUGUGGUGUCACAGCUCAUAGCAACCUCAAACUUUUG